CAUUUGUCAUUGUGCCCAUCUUUAGACGAUCUAAAGACAGGCACGAUUUCCUAUGCUGAAUUUGUUUGCUUUAACCAAUUUUGAAUAUCAGUCUGAGUGACUUUACCCGUUUUCAAAUCAUUAGUUAACCUACGACAGCACAUCCAUAAGUGGUUUGGUCUGUUACAAUUUAAACAAAUUUGGUUUCUGGCUCUACAAUUGUAAAAAGAAUCACAAGACUCACCACAUCUUUGACAUUUGCCCGAGGACUGCCGCGUCUGCUGCUGACCAUUGGGUAUGGGUCGGGGCAUCUGCUGGUACUGGGCCGGCUGCUGUGGCUGAUUCGACUGCAUCGCUUGAAACGGGGCGGGUUGGUGAUACUGGGUCAUCGGCUGAUAUUGCGUAGGUGGAAACUGUGCCUGAUACUGAGGUGGCUGCGGCUGCUGGUACCUAGGGUUUUGACGGUAUUGUCUCUGAUUGGGCCUAGGUCUGUUGUUAUGGAAACUUUGACUGUUCACCAUAUUCACCAUGUUCAUAUUGGUUGUUUCCAUAUUCUGUAUCCUAUCUUCAAGGGAAUUUACUGCCGUGCACAGCGAUGCAUUGGUGGCACUCUGGAUGGCAUUGGUGUCCGGUUCCAGACUCUGUGCAAGCUCUGCUAACAGAGCCUGAGUACGGAGGUCCUCCAUUGUUGUUGGGUUGUGGCGAAUAAGAUCUUUCCGGAUGUUUUGCUUGAAUCCGCCCAUGAGUCUUCCCAUUAAUUUUUGUGAAUCAACUUUCAAAUCUGUUGCUUUUUCCGAUACCCGUUGGAUGAACUCUUCCACAGAUUCGUUUUCUCCUUGUAUGAAUUUCAAAAGAUCGAACGCAUGAUGUGACACAGGUUUGAAUCGGUUAAUGAAGGCUGUGUGUAUGGCUGUUAAUGAUGAUUUCACCGUGGUAUCUAGUGCGUUGAACCAUGUUUCCGCAGUUCCAAGGAAGAAAAAGGGGAGGUAAAGGAUGGCUUUCUGCUCUGUCAGUCCUUGGAGGUUAACAAGAGCCAUAAAUUUAACCCACCAUUGUACCGCGGAGGUCUUCCCAUCGAAUUUCUCGAGUCGCACACUUAACCGGUCCGGAGUGUUUGAUGGUGGCGUGUUGUAGGACAUGGGGGGCGGUGUUGUCAAUGGCUGAACAUGUACAUCUUGCUGAACUUGUUGCUCUCUCUCCAUGUUCCUUAUUCUUUCUCGGAGUCCUUGCAUUUCGUCCUCCUGGUCCACUUGUCGUGUCCUUUCCUGCUCUAUCCUCGCUCGCAAUGCUAUGAUUUCCUCUUCUUUUUGCUGAAGUAGUUCUUGUCUUAUGCUUGGGGGUGAUGAUGUGUCCUCCUGAUUGCUAUUUGACGGAGUUCCGGUAUGAGGCAUAUUCAAUACAAAUGAUGGUAAGAUGUCUAAACUAUCACUUCCUUUAGAACGCAAAAAGUACUUUGACAUAAAGGAUCCUUUGGAUUCCCACCAAUUGUCACGUCUUGUUUUUUGUCCUUAAUAACGUGAUCUGAAUUCACUAUAAAUUUGGGGAAAUUUAACUUUAAUUUGAACACUCGCUUGCUGUGAUGAUCUAAAUUUAACUCGCUGAUGUAAUUUCUUAUUGGUGUCAGCUCUACUGACGUUGUUAUAUGUUGAACACAAUCUGUCGUGGCUGCAAUCCAAAUAAGAAAAAUGAUGAUAAAAUAUGAAUACAAGUUUAUUGAAUGGAGCGUCGCAUGGAAGUGCUAUAAACAACAGUCACCAGUUACAAAAGUUUAAGUUCAUUUACGUAUAAUAUUUUAAAACUCUGGUGACCGUAACAAAGGUAUAAACAAGAUGUAAUAAAAAUAUAACCUCUGUAUUAUUAAUUAACAAUAUGAAAAAUAAUAAAAUCCAAUGUAAACAAUAUAAAGAAUAUAAACAAAGACUUAACGUCGAGGAAAUUCGAACUAAAACUUGACAACGCGUAUGUGAAUUAGAACCAAAAGCGAUUACAAAGAUCUUAAACGAUGAAUGAUUUGAAAGCCUUUAUGGUAUAAUUUUAUCUAAUUUAACUGUCAAUAUUUACUGAGAACUUACCAUUUGAUCUAAACAUGAUUCCCGUAUUUUGUUUCCCGAACUAACUUUAAAUUACCUCCUUUUACUAAAGAGUCUCUUUAACUUAGAAAUGGCGCUAAAUUCAAAUUCUAAUUUACCACGCAUCAAUGCAACAAACAAAAGUAUUUCAUUUACUUGUCUAUUCUACGACUAUCAAAAAUAAAACUAUUUACUAAAAAAAUACCUGUGUUAACGGCAAAACUUAGACGGAUGAAAAAGCAAUUAUUCUGUCUCCUAACCGAUAGGUUAAUAAUGAAUUAUUUCAUAAACGACAAAGCUCAAAUUUAGAAACUUAUUCCUUUAAAAUCAUAACUUAUUUAAAUACCAAAAUUAAAAAAUAAACGUUUAAGCAAAUUAUUAAUUUCUUAAAAUCAAACUUCUAUGAACUUUGAAACAAUAGAAAAUAAAAUAGAGAGCAACAUACCUGCAAUCCAAAUAAGAAAAAUGAUGAUAAAAUAUGAAUACAAGUUUAUUGAAUGGAGCGUCGCAUGGAAGUGACCGAGUUAGGCCAAAUUUCCAGCGACGUCCCCACGCGCUUGGAUUGCAGGUCAUUGACCAAUCAAAAUUCAGUAUUAGAUGAUCGGAAAUAUCAAAAGUGUGAAAAUUUACCAUUUUAAGAAAAAACCUAUUAGUGAUAAAUCACGUGACCCGUACAGUUUAUCCGUUUAAUUGACAUAACUCAGCGCAGCUGUACAUAGCCGUGGGUCAUUUGC
rnacentral:sRNA from 1 species